AUUGAACGCUGGCGGCAGGCCUAACACAUGCAAGUCGAACGAGUGGCGGACGUGUGUGACAUGUAUGUGACCCUGCCCGUUGGAGGGGGAUAAUAACUGGAAACGGAAGCUAAUACCGCAUACCUUCACUUGUGCCGGGAUGGGAUUAGCGUGUUGGUGGGGUAAAGGCUCACCAAGGCCACGAGCCCUAGCUGGUCUGAGAGGAUGAACAGCCACACUGGAACGGAGACACGGCCCAGACUCCUACGGGAUGCAGCAGUGGGGAAUAUUGCACAAUGGGCGCAAGCCUGAUGCAGCCAUGCCGCGUGUAUGAAGAAGGCGUUCGGAUUGUAAAGUACUGUCAGCGGGGAGGCGUUACCCGCAGAAGAAGCACCGGCUAACUCCGGGCCAGCAGCCGCGGUAAUUC
rnacentral:rRNA from 1 species